ACACAGAUGAAGAUGACAUCUAUGGAAUCUUUUCCUUGCAAUUGAUGCAUUCUUUAGUCCAGUAAUAUCAUCUCACUUUGUAUCCAAGAGAUCCUCUCUGUUCAUGUAGAAUUCAGCCAAACACUACAAUGGAUGUGGAAUAAAUGAGCAACAAAUAUUGAAUUAAUAAAUAAACAUCGCACUUUCUGAUGAGGCUGGAGGCUCUCACUUGAUAGCAGAGGAUAAAGAGAAGAAGAAAAGCAGGAACUACUUUCGGCUGGUAAGCAGAUCUUACAGUACAGUAGUUAAGCAUAUAAUGUUUGGAGCCUGACUGAUAUAGGCACAAAUCUCAAGUCCACAACUAUGUGAACGUUGACUUGUGAGAAGAUCCAAAUUUGCUUUGCCUUUGCCUUCCACCAUGACUGUAAGUUGCCUGAGUCCUCCCUGGCCAUAUGGACCUAAUCUCGCUCUGCCACCCAGGCUGGAGUGCAGUGAUAUGAUCCUGGUUCAUUGCAACCUCUACCUUCCAGAUUCAAGAAAUUCUCCUGCCUCAGUCUCCCAAGUAGCUG
rnacentral:lncRNA from 1 species